rnacentral:rRNA from 1 species
GACGAACGCUGGCGGCGUGCCUAAUACAUGCAAGUAGAACGCUGAAGAGAGGAGCUUGCUCUUCUUGGAUGAGUUGCGAAAGGGUGAGUAACGCGUAGGUAACCUGCCUUGUAGCGGGGGAUAACUAUUGGAAACGAUAGCUAAUACCGCAUAACAAUGGAUGACAAAUGUCAUUUAUUUGAAAGGGGCAAUUGCUCCACUACAAGAUGGACCUGCGUUGUAUUAGCUAGUAGGUGAGGUAAUGGCUCACCUAGGCGACGAUACAUAGCCGACCUGAGAGGGUGAUCGGCCACACUGGGACUGGGACACGGCCCAGACUCCUACGGGAGGCAGCAGUAGGGAAUCUUCGGCAAUGGGGGCAACCCUGACCGAGCAACGCCGCGUGAGUGAAGAAGGUUUUCGGGUCGUAAAGCUCUGUUGUAUGUCAAGAACGGGUGUGAGAGUGGAAAGUUCACACUGUGACGGUAGCUUACCAGAAAGGGACGGCUAACUACGUG